CUAAGUUAAGGACCUUGUGAUGGUUAAGUCUAUAUGUCAACUUGACUGCGCCCCAUAUUCCUUUAACAUUAUUCUGGAAGUCGCGUGAAUAAAUGUCCAUGGGUCAAGAGAGAAAAGAUGGACCCCUGGAGUACCAAGACACCCAACCACUUUCCAUGAAGGAGAAGAGGUCUUGAACCACAAAGGGGCAUGGCAGACUGGUCUGGAGGGCACAGCAGGAGAAGGAGGAUGCUUUGGCUUUUCAACCUUGUCUUCAGGAUGUUCUACUUCCCUCAAAAGUCCUACCCUCAAACAGCAAACCUCCAGCAGGAGCAGGCAGAGGCAUCCCCACUGUCCAGUUUCACAGCAAUGAUCAGGAGAACUUCUGGGGUCAACUUCUAACUUCUAUUCAGCAAUUUCAAAGACCGGCCAGAUAAGAGAACUUUAUUAACUCCUUUAUCAACUGUCAGCUUCCUUUCAAAUUACUCCUAGGCAAAAAGUUUUGUUGCUAUAAUUACUGUUGUUAUUCUGGGGGUGGGGGGGGUGGGGAGGAGGGAGAUGGAUUUUAUUUUAAAUGUUUCGUAGUAUUUUAAAAAGACAAGAUGUGGUUGGAAAAGAAAACUUAAAAGGUAUACAGAACAAAGUCUAUCUCCCACUAGUUCUCCAUUUGCCCAGUUCCCAGCUGCAGCCAUAAGAAACCACUGUUAUUAGUCAUUUGUGAUUCUUUCUGAAAUGUCUUUUAUAUACACAAGCAAAUAUAAAUACAUAUUCUCCCCACCCACCCACCCAAAUGUUCUUUCACACAAAUGAAAGCAAACUCAACACAAUCUUUUGACACUUGGCCUUUUUUUCAUUUCACAGUGGAUCCUGAAGUUCUUCCCUAUUCGUACAUAAAAUGUUUCUUUUUUUCCCCCCACAAAUACAUUUGUGUACAGCUGACCCUUGAACAAUACAGAGGCUAGAGACACCGAUCCCCUGCACAGUCAAAAAUCUAUGAAUAACUUCUGACUCCCCAAAAACUGAACUACUAAUAGCCUACUGUUGACCAGGAAAGUUACCAAUUACAUAAAGCAGUCAAUUAAUAUAUAUUUUAUGUGUUAUAUGUAUUAUACUGUACCCUUACAAUAAUACCUUUUUAAUUUUUUCUGUAUUUCAAUGAUACCUGGUUCAUCUUAAGAGUUUUUUCAAAUUGUCACAAGUCUCCAAAAAACUUUCCAAUAUAUUUACUGAACAAAAUUUGUGUAUAAGUAGACCUACACAGUUCGAACCAGUGUUGUUCAAGGGUCAAAUGUAUUUCAUAUUUUGUAUGUAUGAUAAUUUUUAAAAAUUCCCUUUUAAUGGAUAAGACUGUUUCCAAUGUUUUGUCAUUAAAAUUAGUACUUCAAAAAAAAAAAAACAAAAUAAGUGUUUUAAUCAAUAACUUUUUACCUACAACAUUUAGCACAUUUGCAAGUAUCAGUGUAGAAUAAAUUCUCAGAACAAGAACUUCUAGGUCCAAGAGUACAUGAAGUUGUGAUUUUGAUAAGUAUUAUUAAACUGUCCUCUACAGGGAUUCUUUACACACCCACCAGCAACACACAUAAACACAUAUAAGCUUCUUUAUAAUCUUACCAAUGAAUAAACCAAAUACAUAAAACCUAAAACAAUAAAAAUUUAGGGAUUUUGCCAAACUCACAUCCCAUCGUUCUUCAUAGCCUUUUAAAUUUUUACUGUGAGGCUGAAUACCUGCCUUCAUAUACUUAAGAGCCAUUCAGCCUUCCUAUCUGUGGCCUACAGAGCCUCUUUACCUCUUAGGUAUAUUAGCCCUUUGUCUAUGAGUUGGGGG